CUGAAAAUCUAAUAAAAAAUAGCAUAGGCCAAGCUUUGUAACAAUGCAGUGGGACUUGCAAGUCACAUGAGUAAAAAGAAAACUGCUGUUUAUCGCACUUCGUUGAAAAAUAGUCAGCUUGAAGGUAAGAUCAUACACAGCCCCAGUUUUCUACUUUUCCAGAAGUACAAUAAUUUUCAAGCCAAACCCUCCCAAACAAGUCAAUCCAGCUGACCUCCAGCAAUUUGACAUCAGCCUGCCACUGCCAAUGAAAUCAUUCCCCAUUCAAGCUAAAGCAACAAGUUUUAAGCAAGCGAACAUCUUUCCCCUGGCACGAUAUGCGAGCGAGGAGCAAGGGAGGGCGAGGAUGGAUGGAUGGAUCUUUGCUAUGACAUCCCCUUUGGAACGGGGUGGUUUCCGGGAAUUUCGCCAAAGUUGUGCUCAUGUGGCGGGUCUCUAAAGUCUAUGAUUCUAUGCUUUGGUGUGCAGUAAUCAGCGAUUUCUAAUUAUAUUCUAAUUAUUCUAGACACUUCAGUAACUCAGCUUGUAACUAAACUUAUGCUCUGAUAUCAUUUCCAUAAUGAAACCCAUAAAUUUUGCGCUGUACUACGAUAUAUAUGUUUAUUUAUUUUGAAUUUCGUCCCCACUCGUCUCAGGAGGCGAACCGGAAGUGCUGCGCAAGAAACAAUAGUGUCGCUUGAUGCUUGUGCCACUAAAGAAACACUACUUGAGUGCAGUCAACUCCCGUUGAUUCGGCCCUUAUGAGAUUGCAAGAUUUUAUCAAACUAUCCAAAAGGUCAAAUUAACAAAUAGCAGCGAAAAUAAACAAUUUUUUUAUUGCUUGUUUUAUUGUAUUGCUAGUCUGUAAUGUUUCUUGUUGUUGUUGUUUGUUUCUUGUUCUUGAAGCGCAACUCAGUCAGCACGACGCAAAGAGCGCCAACAUGUUUAGGCACUAGCUCAGCGCAAUACAACAUGAAACAAGUGGCAACGGAUUUCUUCACAGGUGGAAUGAGCGUCAGCUACUAACAGAUAAAAACAAAUUUAUAUAAGACAGCUUCAUGCCUAGGGAAGCAGUAGCAUCAUCUACUGAAUUUGUUGUGUUUUCUUGGCUUAUAUAGUAAGCGCUGCGCACCUGAGGGAGCUCUGAUGCGGGUUGGUGCAGGUCGAAUUAACUGAAGCAGCCUGCAACUGAAGCAACUGAAGCAGUUUGAACAAAACGAGUUUUCCUUCAAUAGCAAUGUAUGGUUUCUCACAAAGACUAUGUUGUGCAUUCAAAUUAGCAAGGUUACCCUUUGAGCGUCACAUUUUUUCUGAAAAUGUGUCCCCCCAGGGUCCCACUCUUUAUUACAAAUUUAAAUUCUUCAGAUUGACUCAUUUCGAAAAAAAAGCAAGCAACCAAUUUUUUAGGUGACAAUGAAGUGACAAAUAUAUUAAUGUGUGCAGAUUUAAACAUGGUUUAUUACUGAAUACAUGAGAAACCUGAAACAUGAGAAACCUGAAACAUGAGAAACCUGAAACAUGAGAAACCUUUUUUACUGAUGUAAUAAUCUUCACAGAACUUAGUUUAAUGUUUUAAAUAGGUUGUAUGCCACUGGGGCCUGCAUUUUGAAAAUUCCCUUUCAUUUGCCACAUUUAUCAUGUGUCGUUUCGAGGGUUUGAACACAGCCAAGACGACAGUGUGGUGACCCUUGAGCAAUGUCUGAACUAGGAACGAAGGGCCAGAAGAAUGGAAAAUGAAGUGGUUCGUUAGAGUGAAGUGGUGCCAGGACAAAUGGCCAUAGCGAGAGUGAGACAUGGCAUGUCAGUGCCCACAGGCAAUCAAAUGGAGUGAAGCAUACGCAUCAAAAAAGAAAACAAGCGAAAAACUUGCAGUAAUAAAUUCCUAGAUGGCUAGAUGAGUUUCUCUCAGUUCUCGUGUCUCUCACGCACAUGCAGCAGCAUUGCCAGUUUUUGAGUGCCCGCCUGUAAACAAAGUAGUUGCAUGCCUAUGGGAGAGCCAUGCAGGCGAGCACCUCACAGCAGCACUUUGAGUAAUAAAAACGAGAUAGAAAUCACUUUUCUUAUUGGCCAACAUCAAGAAUGGGGCUGAGAGAUGGAGUAGCACACUGUGGUAUAAAGGUUAUAAACAGGGAUAAAAUGCCUCAGAAAGGCUGGCCGGCAUUUCGAUACGAAGACCUAUUUUCGUCAAAGGCGGCCUUGUCAUCCUCGGCAGGCUAGUUUUAACGGAUUAGUAGAGUGACGUCACAUGCGCUCGUUGUCGGUGGCGGCUGGCUGUAUAGGGAAAGACUUACGAAUGACAAUAGCUGUAACUUAAACCAGACAUUCUCAUAUCAUUAACAAAAGCACAAAACACAUUAUGCCACCAGCUAACCACAAUUCUUAACCUCACCAGUUCCUCCGUUUACAUUUCUUCCCUGCCUCUCCCCUACUGCUUAAUUUAUUGUCCUCUUCCACGCUUUUAAGCAUAUAUAGACUAUACAAGCCCUUUUCCUAUGUGUACUUGCCCCCUUCCGCUUUUUCCCCUCCCCCUCCCACUUGUUCUUCCACGUUUAUUUUUACUUUCUUUUUUUUUUUCUUUAUUUCAUUUAAAGGCCCUCACUGAGACAUUCCAAAGUCACAGAUGCCAGGAUACCUUUUUCAGCGCCUCGACCACACAGGGUCACGCCAAUUAUGUAUAUCGCUGUGCCGACGCCUAAGCCGAUAUGCUGAGGCUAAUGUCCCUUGAAAGACCAAACCGCUGGCUUCCAACUACACUAUCCAUUGCCCCCAGACUCCGUGGCGCCAUAUUAACACCUUCAAAAUUACCUAACGCAUUGCUGCUAUGCUACUCAAGUGAUUCUUUCAACUCGUGUCUUUUUGUUAUUCGCACCCUGACUGGCUCACAGGAUCUUCUAAAACCACAAACGCAUGCCACCAACAACGUCCCUGAAGGCUCCCUAACCUUUCGCUCCCGCAACACCCUCCUAUGGCCUUCUUUGAUCCUCGUUUUUUUUUCUUUUCUUUUUUUCUCUCUCUCUCUCUAUUUUUUUUUUUGCCGCCUUCCCACUUUCCUGCUCUAGUCCCCUCAUCUUAGAAACCAUGCCUAGAGACAGCAAGCGAAAGCGCUCAUUUUCUUUUCAGUCUCUCCCUUUACAGCCAGCCGCCACUGACAAUGACUGCACGACUUCACUCUACUAACCUGUUAAAACUAACCUGCCGAGAAUGACAAGGCCGCCUUUGAUGAAGACAGGUCCCCCUAUCGAAACGUUGGCCAGCCUUUCUGAGGCACCUUGUCCCUGUUUAUACCCUUUUUUUUUCCCACUGGCCGUAACUCGUAACGACAUAUGCGAGAAUGUCAAUCAUAAAGUUUGCUAGCACGGUUCUGAGUAUACAGCAGUAGACUAGGCGAAGCGGGAAUACUCCCAAAGUACUGUGGUGGCAGCCACCAUAGAGUGAAGCAAAAAAUCAGUUUAGGCAGAAACUGAAAUGCCUCGCCAGUACAAUGCUACAUGACAUUUCAUUCUAAAAGAGGCAAGUUUUUUUCAGACAUUUAAUCUAUGUUAUACGUGUAAGGCCGUGACGAAUUGUGAUUUGUUUCUG